UCCAUGAGUGAGAAGACAACAAAAAUUAUACCAAAUGAGAUACAAAUAUUUAACAUAGUUCGGUUAAUCGAUCUACAUCUACAAGAGGAGAUGAAAAUUUCACUAUAUAAAAGAGAGUACACAAUAUCAAGAUAAAUAUCUCACAUAUUUCGCUUGAAAUACAAAGAGGUUCACACAAGUAUUAACAUAAAACCUGUGUCUCACUAAUUCCCUCUCCUAAACAAUACUCUCAAAGCCCCUAUGACUAAAUUGUGAAUGAUACCAAGUUAGAAGGAAUGAACUUCUAUAAUGAAAAUUCAUAACUUCAACACCCGUCAACCCCCUCCCCC
rnacentral:lncRNA from 1 species